GCCGUGAGAUCAUGACCUGAGCCAAAGUUGGAUGCUUAACCGACUGAGCCACCAGGUGCCCCUUUAGACCACAUAUUAUAGCUACCUGAAAAGCAUUUCUAGUCAGACCAUGAGUUUCUGUCACUGUGCUUGAGUUAUAUAGCUUUUACUGCCACCUUUAAUUUGCUACACUUAGUGAAUGCCUUCUACAAAAGUAUAGCCAAGAUAAAAUUCUAUGAAAACACUAAAUGCUUUUUUCUGAGUACUUCCUCUUAUGGGAGAUUGUUGGAUGAGGCCAGAACUUGGGAGGACCAAUGUAAUUAUUAAAAGUAGCCAGAACAUUUACACAUGCACGCUUGUGUGCACACAUACAAACAAAUCUCUUUCUCUCUUUUUUGUUGUAAGAUUGCCUUUAUCUUUUACCCUUCCGAUCCCAAAAUUGCUAGAGGCUAUUGAGAAAUCUGAGGCACCUUACUGAGACACCUGUUUGUUAAUGACAUCAUCAGAGGGCAUAUACAGUGCCUAUCCUAUUCUUUCUAGACGGUCCCACACGCAAGCAGGCACUUACAUAAUAAUGCUACCAUUUAAUAAGUACCAUGUGAUCAUUUGCAACCAAUGUGAGAAAUUUCCCUCAGAGCUUUUUAAACUAUGACCUCCAAAGGCAUUCAGGGCCAAGUGAAGUGAAUGUCUGCCUCUUGCUUGCCAGGAACUUACUUUCCGCUGUAUUUCACGAACCUUUUUCCUGCUUGGGUAUGAUCGCGGGUGCUAGGGAGUAAUGUUUUCGGCCCACAUGGGUCACUGUAAUGUCUUCUCAGUGGAAGAUCACUCAGAAGACAAGUAUGAUGACAGCCGUCGUAUUUAGUGCCUAGCAGUGCUGGUAGUAGCCAGCUGUACUUCUGGUCCUGAAACUUGAUACUGCAAGAUGAAGUGACAGCCAACUGAAUACACAAAAAUUCCUGCUAGGUAGGAUAAUAGGUGCAUUUUUGUUAAAUAGGUAAGAAGAGAAUAGCUACCCUUUAUUAAGAGCUUAUUUUGAGCUAGGCGUUAGGUACCUAAUCUCAUUUAAUUAUCCACAGCUAUUAUCAUUCCUAUGGUAUUGAUGAAAAAUCCAGAGCUUGGAGAGGUUAAGUAACAUUACCAGUGCACUGUGGCCAGGAUUCCAGCCCAGGUGGUCCUACUCUAGAGCCUAUGCCCGUUCUCACCUGACCGGGCAGCCUAAGUGGGUGCCUGUUGUGACUUCUUUUUAGACAUGUAAGCCUUACACUGGAACUUUUUUUUUUUCCUGAAAUGCCAGUAAGUCAUAUUCUCUCUCUUUUUAACAUUCAGCAAACCAAGAAGGUCAAGGAGGGAGGACAUAGGCUAAAAUAUUCUAAAAUAAACCUAAGGUGUAGCAUGAAAUUACAUAACCAAGAAGUGGAAUGUUUUGGUUACUGGGUGGUACUCUGUUCUUGGAACGAUUUUCUAUGUCUAUUUUUUUUUCAGUUGUUUUUUGCUUUUUUAAUCAGCUGCCCAAAAUACCACAGACAACUGUGGUAUUAUAUAUACAUGAGCUUAGAUGUGAGAUGUUUUAUUCUUUCCUUUGUUUUAUUUUAACACUACUACUUUUUUUUUUUUUUUUUUACAAUUCUCAUAACAGCUUUGACAGAUUUAAAUGAGUUUUUCUUUUUAAGACUAAAUUCUGUAUUCUCCGCAGACCUCUUGUUUUUAAUGUUUAUUUAUUUGAGAGAGAGAGCGCACAUGCGUGUGCAUGCAUGCAAGCAGGGGAGGGGCAGAGAGAGAGAGAGAGAGAGAGGGAGAGAGAAUCCCAAGCAUGCUCUGUGAUAACAGCCUGGAAGCCUGAUGAGGGACUUGAUCUCAGGAACUAGAAGAUCAUUCUUGAGCCAAAAUCAAGAAUCGGAUGUUAAACCAACUGAGCCACCCAGGAUCUCUUUAUACUUACUGAUUGAAUGGGAAAUGUAAGAAAUCAAGUGAUACUUCUAGAAGGUACUUCUCAGUUUACAAAGUACUUUUUCAGUUUUGCCUUCAUAUUAUUAUUUUGCUGACUUCUCAUAACAGUCCAUAAA